rnacentral:rRNA from 1 species
UACAGAGGUCUCAACCGUUGUUCGGAUUCAUUGGGCGUAAAGGGUGCGUAGGCGGUCGUGCAAGUCGGAUGUGAAAUCUCAGGGCUCAACCCUGAAACUGCAUUCGAUACUGCGUGGCUAGAGUGCUGGAGAGGAGACUGGAAUUUACGGUGUAGCAGUGAAAUGCGUAGAUAUCGUAAGGAAGACCAGUGGCGAAGGCGACUUACUGGACACAUAUUGACGCUGAGGUGCGAAAGCGUGGGGAGCAAACAGG